UAGGGAAUCUUCGGCAAUGGGGGGAACCCUGACCGAGCAACGCCGCGUGAGUGAAGAAGGUUUUCGGAUCGUAAAGCUCUGUUGUUAAGGAAGAACGAGUGUGAGAAUGGAAAGUUCAUGCUGUGACGGUACUUAACCAGAAAGGGACGGCUAACUACGUGCCAGCAGCCGCGGUAAUACGUAGGUCCCGAGCGUUGUCCGGAUUUAUUGGGCGUAAAGCGAGCGCAGGCGGUUAGAAAAGUCUGAAGUGAAAGGCAGUGGCUCAACCAUUGUAGGCUUUGGAAACUGUUUAACUUGAGUGCAGAAGGGGAGAGUGGAAUUCCAUGUGUAGCGGUGAAAUGCGUAGAUAUAUGGAGGACCACCGGUGGCGAAAGCGGCUCUCUGGUCUGUAACUGACGCUGAGGCUCGAAAGCGUGGGGAGCGAACAGG
rnacentral:rRNA from 2 species